rnacentral:rRNA from 1 species
CCGCAUAAGCGCACAGCAUCGCAUGAUGCAGUGUGAAAAACUCCGGUGGUAUAAGAUGGACCCGCGUUGGAUUAGCUAGUUGGUGAGGUAACGGCCCACCAAGGCGACGAUCCAUAGCCGACCUGAGAGGGUGACCGGCCACAUUGGGACUGAGACACGGCCCAAACUCCUACGGGAGGCAGCAGUGGGGAAUAUUGCACAAUGGGCGAAAGCCUGAUGCAGCGACGCCGCGUGAGCGAAGAAGUAUUUCGGUAUGUAAAGCUCUAUCAGCGGGGAAGAUAAUGACGGUACCUGACUAAGAAGCACCGGCUAAAUACGUGCCAGCAGCCGCGGUAAUACGUAUGGUGCAAGCGUUAUCCGGAUUUACUGGGUGUAAAGGGAGCGCAGGCGGUGCGGCAAGUCUGAUGUGAAAGCCCGGGGCUCAACCCCGGUACUGCAUUGGAAACUGUCGUACUAGAGUGUCGGAGGGGUAAGCGGAAUUCCUAGUGUAGCGGUGAAAUGCGUAGAUAUUAGGAGGAACACCAGUGGCGAAGGCGGCUUACUGGACGAUAACUGACGCUGAGGCUCGAAAGCGUGGGGAGCAAACAGGAUUAGAUACCCUGGUAGUCCACGCCGU